CAGCCGCCACGGUAAUACGUAGGUGGCAAGCGUUGUCCGGAAUUAUUGGGCGUAAAGGGCUCGCAGGCGGUUUCUUAAGUCUGAUGUGAAAGCCCCCGGCUCAACCGGAGAGGGUCAUUGGAAACUGGGAAACUUGAGUGCAGAAGAGGAGAGUGGAAUUCCACGUGUAGCGGUGAGAUGCGUAGAGAUGUGGAGGAACACCAGUGGCGAAGGCGACUCUCUGGUCUGUAACUGACGCUGAGGAGCGAAAGCGUGGGGAGCGAACAGGAUUAGAUACCCCCGUAGUCCCUGUCUCUUAUAC
rnacentral:rRNA from 1 species